GGGCUGCGCGUGCUAUACUGCAGUCGACGCUUCUUUUUCCCCGGAGCUUGCUCCACCGGAAAAAGAGGAGUGGCGAACGGGUGAGUAACACGUGGGUAACCUGCCCAUCAGAAGGGGAUAACACUUGGAAACAGGUGCUAAUACCGUAUAACAAUCGAAACCGCAUGGUUUUGAUUUGAAAGGCGCUUUCGGGUGUCGCUGAUGGAUGGACCCGCGGUGCAUUAGCUAGUUGGUGAGGUAACGGCUCACCAAGGCCACGAUGCAUAGCCGACCUGAGAGGGUGAUCGGCCACAUUGGGACUGAGACACGGCCCAAACUCCUACGGGAGGCAGCAGUAGGGAAUCUUCGGCAAUGGACGAAAGUCUGACCGAGCAACGCCGCGUGAGUGAAGAAGGUUUUCGGAUCGUAAAACUCUGUUGUUAGAGAAGAACAAGGAUGAGAGUAACUGUUCAUCCCUUGACGGUAUCUAACCAGAAAGCCACGGCUAACUACGUGCCAGCAGCCGCGGUAAUACGUAGGUGGCAAGCGUUGUCCGGAUUUAUUGGGCGUAAAGCGAGCGCAGGCGGUUUCUUAAGUCUGAUGUGAAAGCCCCCGGCUCAA
rnacentral:rRNA from 1 species